AUUGAACGCUGGCGGCAUGCUUUACACAUGCAAGUCGAACGGUAACAGGCCGCAAGGUGCUGACGAGUGGCGAACGGGUGAGUAAUGCAUCGGAACGUGCCAAGUCGUGGGGGAUAACGCAGCGACAGCUGUGCUAAUACCGCAUACGCUCUGUGGAUGAAAGCGGGGGACCGAAAGCCCUCGCGCGAUCGGCGCGGCUGAUGUCAGACUAGGUAGUUGGUGGGGUAAAGGCUCACCAAGCCAACGAUCUGUAGCUGGUCUGAGAGGACGACCAGCCACACUGGGACUGAGACACGGCCCAGACUCCUACGGGAGGCAGCAGUGGGGAAUUUUGGACAAUGGGGGCAACCCUGAUCCAGCAAUGCCGCGUGCAGGAAGAAGGCCUUCGGGUUGUAAACUGCUUUUGUACGGAACGAAACGGUCUGGGUUAAUACCCUGGGCUAAUGACGGUACCGUAAGAAUAAGCACCGGCUAACUACGUGCCAGCCGCCGCGGUAACAC
rnacentral:rRNA from 1 species